GACAUGACGGCCCCUGUGCAGCUCCUCAGCUUCCUGCUGCUCUGGCUCCCAGGCACCAUGUGUGAUAUCCAGAUGAGCCAGCCUUCAUCCAUGCCUGCAUCUCUGGGAAAGAAAGUCACCAUCACCUGCAAGGCCAGUCAGAGCAUUAGCAAUUAUUUACACUGGUAUCAGCAGAAACCAGGGAAAGCUCCCAGGCUCCUGAUCUAUGGUGCAACAAGUUUAGAACAAGGCGUCCCUUCCCGGUUCAGUGGCAGUGGAUUUGGAACAGAUUUCACUCUCACCAUCAGCAGCCUGGAGCUGGAUGAUCUUGCCACUUAUUACUGUCAACAGGGUAGUAGUACACCUCCCACAGUGAUACAGGCCAGAACAUAA